rnacentral:rRNA from 1 species
ACAGUGAACUUUGAGCAUGUUUGUGUAGGAUAGCUGGGAGGCUUUGAAACCAGGACGCCAGUUCUGGUGGAGCCAACCUUGAAAUACCAGCCUGACCUGUUUGAGGUUCUAACUUCGACCCCUUAUCGGGGUUAAGGACACUGUGUGGUGGGUAGUUUGACUGGGGCGGUCUCCUCCCAAAGCGUAACGGAGGAGCACAAAGGUGGGCUAAGCAUGGUCGGACAUCAUGCGGUUAGUGUAAUGGCACAAGCCCGCUUAACUGCGAGACAGACACGUCGAGCAGGUACGAAAGUAGGUCAUAGUGAUCCGGUGGUUCUGUAUGGAAGGGCCAUCGCUCAACGGAUAAAAGG